GACGAACGCUGGCGGCGUGCUUAACACAUGCAAGUCGAGCGGUAAGGCCCUUUCGGGGGUACACGAGCGGCGAACGGGUGAGUAACACGUGGGUGACCUGCCCUCAGCUCUGGGAUAAGCCUGGGAAACCGGGUCUAAUACUGGAUAUGACUCCAUGACGCAUGUUGUGGGGUGGAAAGCCUUGUGCGGCUGAGGAUGGGCCCGCGGCGCAUUAGCUAGUUGGUGAGGUAACGGCUCACCAAGGCCACGAUGCGUAGCCGACCUGAGAGGGUGAUCGGCCACACUGGGACUGAGACACGGCCCAGACUCCUACGGGAGGCAGCAGUAGGGAAUCUUCCGCAAUGGACGAAAGUCUGACGGAGCAACGCCGCGUGAGUGAUGUAAGGUUUUCGGGUACGUAAAGCUCUGUUGUUAGGGAAGAACAAGUACCAGAGUAACUGCUGGUA
rnacentral:rRNA from 1 species